CAGCCGCCACGGUAAUACGUAGGUGGCAAGCGUUGUCCGGAAUUAUUGGGCGUAAAGGGCUCGCAGGCGGUUUCUUAAGUCUGAUGUGAAAGCCCCCGGCUCAACCGGGGAGGGUCAUUGGAAACUGGGAAACUUGAGUGCAGAAGAGGAGAGUGGAAUUCCACGUGUAGCGGUGAAAUGCGUAGAUAUAUGGAGGAACACCAGUGGCGAAGGCGACUCUCUGGUCUGUAACUGACGCCGAGGCGCGAAAGCGUGGGGAGCAAACAGGAUUAGAUACCCCCGUAGUCCCUGUCUCUUAUAU
rnacentral:rRNA from 1 species